GCUCCAGUGGCGCAAUCGGUUAGCGCACGGUACUUAUAAGACAGUGGCCGCGUGAGGGAUGCCGGGGUUGUGAGUUCGAGUCUCACCUGGAGCA
rnacentral:tRNA from 1 species